rnacentral:rRNA from 1 species
AACGAACGCUGGCGGCAUGCCUAACACAUGCAAGUCGAACGAGACCUUCGGGUCUAGUGGCGCACGGGAGCGUAACGCGUGGGAACCUGCCCGUAGGUUCGGAAUAACUCGCCGAAAGGGGUGCUAAUACCGGACAAUGUCUUCGGACCAAAGAUUUAUCGCCUUUGGAUGGGCCCGCGUUGGAUUAGCUAGUUGGUAGGGUAAAAGCCUACCAAGGCGACGAUCCAUAGCUGGUCUGAGAGGAUGAUCAGCCACACUGGGACUGGGACACGGCCCAGACCCCUACGGGAGGCAGCAGUGGGGAAUAUUGGACAAUGGGCGAAAGCCUGAUCCAGCACUGCCGCGUGAGUGAUGAAGGCCUUAGGGUUGUAAAGCUCUUUUACCCGGGCUGAUAAUGCCAGUACCGGGAGAAUAAGCUCCGGCUAACUCCGCG